UACGUAGGGUGCAAGCGUUGUCCGGAAUUAUUGGGCGUAAAGCGCGCGUAGGCGGCCCGGUAAGUCCGCUGUGAAAGUCCAGGGCUCAACCCUGGAAAGCCGGUGGAUACUGCCGGGCUAGAGUCCGGAAGAGGCGAGUGGAAUUCCUGGUGUAGCGGUGAAAUGCGCAGAUAUCGGGAAGAACACCCGUGGCGAAGGCGGCUCUCUGGGACGGUACUGACGCUGAGACGCGAAAGCGUGGGGAGCGAACAGG
rnacentral:rRNA from 1 species